GACGAACGCUGGCGGCGUGCUUAACACAUGCAAGUCGAACGGAAAGGCCCUGCUUUUGUGGGGUGCUGGAGUGGCGAACGGGUGAGUAACACGUGAGUAACGUGCCCUUCACUUUGGGAGAACUUCAGGAAACUGAGGCUAAUACCGGAUAGGAGCUCCCGCUGCAUGGUGGGGGUUGGAAAGUUUCGGCGGUUGGGGAUGGACUGGCGGCUUAUCAGCUUGUUGGUGGGGUAGUGGCAUACCAAGGCAUUGACGGGUCGCCGGCCUGCGAGGGGGACCGGCCACAAUGCGACUGAGAUACGGCCCAGACUCCUACGGGAGGCAACGGUGGAGAGUAUUACACAAUGGGCGGAAGCCUGAUGCAGCAACGCCGCGUGCGGGAUGACGGCCUUCGGGUUGUGAACCGCUUUCGCCUGUGACGAAGCGUUAGUGACGGUAAUGGGUGAAGAAGCACCGGCUAACUACGUG
rnacentral:rRNA from 1 species